rnacentral:siRNA from 1 species
UAAAGUCUUGUAAUCUUCUGU